rnacentral:rRNA from 1 species
AGAGUUUGAUCAUGGCUCAGGAUGAACGCUAGCGGCGUGCCUAAUGCAUGCAAGUCGGACGGCAGGCUUAGAGGAGGUCUUUGACCAACUUUGAGCCGAGAGUGGCGGACGGGUGAGUAAGACGUAGGUGACCUACCCGGGAGAGGGGGACAACCACUGGAAACGGUGGCUAAUACCGCGGAUGUUGGUUCAAUUAGAGGGGACCAACUGAAGGUGGGCUUGUCGAGAGACAGGCACAUGCUCCUGGAGGGGCCUGCGGGCCAUCAGCUAGUUGGUGGGGUAAGGGCCUACCAAGGCAGAGACGGCUAGGGGGCGUGAGAGCGCGACCCCCCACACUGGUACUGAAACACGGACCAGAUACCUGCGGGUAGCAGCAGCAAGGAAUAUUGCGCAAUGGGGGCAACCCUGACGCAGCAACGCCGCGUGGAGGAAGACGUCUUUCGGGAUGUAAACUCCUUUUGUGGGGGAAGAAGGCGGCGGUCUAACGACCGUUUAGCUUGACGGUACCCCAAGAAAAAGGCCCGGCUAACUACGUGCCAGCAGCCGCGGUAAAACGUAGGGGUCGAGCGUUAUCCGGAAUUACUGGGCGUAAAGCGCGUGCAGGCGGACGGGCAAGUCGGACGUGAAAGCUCCUGGCUCAACUGGGAGAGGACGUUCGAAACUGCUCGACUAGAGAACGGUAGAGGCGAGUGGAAUUCCCGGUGUAGUGGUGAAAUGCGUAGAUAUCGGGAGGAAGACCAGAGGCGAAGGCGGCUCGCUGGGCCGGUUCUGACGCUCAGACGCGAAAGCCAGGGGAGAGAACGGGAUUAGAAACCCCGGUAUUCCUGGCAGUAAACGAUGUCAACCAGGUGUAGGAGGUGUCGAAGCCUUCUGCGCUGCAGCUAACGCAGUAAGUUGACCGCCUGGGGAGUACGGCCGCAAGGCUAAAACUCAAAGGAAUUGACGG